GUUUCUUGAAAUUCUUGGAAUUUUUUCUGUGCAUCUGGGCUUUGCUUCCAGUUCAUUCCAUUGGUGUCACAGGAUGACUAGAGUGUGGUGGUGAGUUCUGAAGGUGUUAGGGUUGCAGAAUUGGAGGAUCAAUUUAGGGUUUUGCAAUCAGUGGUUCAUAAGAAUACUGAAGAUCUUAAAAUCUUGAAGGAAAAAAAUGAAAAAAACUACUGAAUAAAUAAGGAAAAAAACAGUAAAGAAAGUGAUGAAUUUAGGGAUGAAGGGCUUUUAUGAUUAUCAUGUUGCAAGAAAGGAAGGGCAAGGGAAAAGAAGGCUGUAGUGGAAGUGGGAAAGUUUUGGAGAAAGGAAAUAGUUUUGGUUCACAAGGAGAUAGUGGAAUACAAGCUAACGGCAUUCUUCUUACCCUGAAGUAGAUUAUUCCUAACAUUGGCAGUACUGGAUCCGGAUCUGUGAAUGAUUCAGGUUAUCUUGAGAAAAUUCUCCCUAAAAUUGAGUUGAGUAUUUCUGAUGGCAGUGAUCCUAGGGUUUGGAUUAGGAA
rnacentral:misc_RNA from 1 species